CAUGGUUGUUGCCGUCGUCGUGUCGGGCAUCCCGCGGUCCUCCUGGUGGAUAAGAACGUUGUCGGCUCCCUGGCGAACCCUAGCGCCCACUUUCCCCUCUCCCUCGCGUGCUCUUCCUCUCACUCGAUCUCUUCCUCUGUUCGAUGAGGAGCGCUUCCAUCGACGCCACCUUGUCGAUCCCGCGACCACCGGCCUCCUCGUCGUCGGCUAGCAGGUCCAGGAGCCUCUCCACGGUCGUCUCCUUCGACUACACCGAAGAACCCGAGCCGGGACGGCCCCGCAGUGCUACAUCGCCGUCUUCUUCCUCCUCGGGCCGCCGCACUCCGUCGCCAUCUCCGGUCGAACCUGCUGCUCCUAAGCUACCACCGGGCCUUCGUGUGCUCCCCCGAUGACGGACCCCAGGAGCCAGACGACACCACUGAUGACUACUGCUACCCCGAGGAUGCCUACUACUACGUGACGGCCGCUGACGACUUGGAGUAGUUAGAAGGCUCCCAGGCAGGAGGCCUUGCCUUUUCGAUCAAUGUUGCUUUUGUGCUAGCCUUCUUAAGGCAAACUUGUUUAACUUAUGUAUGUACUCAGAUAUUGUUGCUUUUGCUGACUCUCGUGUUUUUGAGCUUAUGUAUUCGAGCCCUCGAGGCCCCUGGCUUGUAAUAUAAAGCUUGUAUUAUUUUAAUUUGUGUCUAGAGUUGUGUUGUGAUAUCUUCCCGUGAGUCCUUG
rnacentral:rRNA from 1 species